AUUCCAGCUCCAAUAGCGUAUAUUAAAGUUGUUGCGGUUAAAAAGCUCGUAGUUGGAUUUCAGUUCCGGACUGACGGUUCACCGCCCGGUGCCUACUGUCACGCUCCGAACAGCCGCACCGCCGGCUCGCACGGGGUGCUCUUCAUCGAGUGUCCCGAGUGGCCGGCACGUUUACUUUGAAAAAAUUAGAGUGCUCAGAGCAGGCUCCUUGAACGGCCUGAAUGUCUAUGCAUGGAAUAAUGGAAUAGGACCUCGGUUCUAUUUUGUUGGUUUUCGGAACCCGAGGUAAUGACUAAUAGGAACAGGCGGGGGCAUUCGUAUUGCGACGCUAGAGGUGAAAUUCAUGGACCGUCGCAAGACGAACUACUGCGAAAGCAUUUGCCAAGGAUGUUUUCAUUAAUCAGGAACGAAAGUUAGAGGUUCGAAGGCGAUCAGAUACCG
rnacentral:rRNA from 1 species